CAUAAUCAAUUCACAUACAAACAAGCAACAGUAGUUCAUGCCAAACAGAUAACAUACAGUAUCGGUUUUUCAGUCAUUCAACCCAUGAUUAAUAAAAACGUAGUAAAUGCACACAAAUCUGUAAAAUAAACACAUCAAACCUCAUUUUGCAUUUAAAGCUGUAAACAUGCCAAAUAACAGUAAACCACCAAUCACACUAGACUCG
rnacentral:lncRNA from 1 species